UUCGCAAUGCCCGAAAGGGUGACGAAGCGACGCCGCGUGCGGGAAGAAGGCCUUCGGGUUGUAAACCGCUGUCGGGAGUUAGGAAGUGCAAGGAUGUUAAUAGCGUCUUUGCUUGACUAAGGCUCCGGAGGAAGCCACGGCUAACUCUGUGCCAGCAGCCGCGGUAAUACAGAGGCGGCAAGCGUUGUUCGGAAUUAUUGGGCGUAAAGAGCACGUAGGCGGCCGUGUAAGUCGGUUGUGAAAGCCUUCCGCUCAACGGGAGAACGGCAUCCGAUACUGCAUAGCUUGAGUGCGGGAGGGGAGAGUGGAACUUCUGGUGGAGCGGUGAAAUGCGUAGAUAUCAGAAGGAACGCCGGCGGCGAAAGCGGCUCUCUGGCCCGUAACUGACGCUGAGUGUGCGAAAGCUAGGGGAGCAAACGGGAUUAGAUACCCCGGUAGUCCUAACUGUAAACGAUGGGCACUAAGUAGAGGGGUUUU
rnacentral:rRNA from 1 species